GCCGCGGUAAUUCCAGCUCCAAUAGCGUAUAUUAACGUUGUUGCAGUUAAAAAGCUCGUAGUUGAAUUGAAGUGAACUUGGGUUGAUGUGAUCUUCGGAUGACAUGAAUCAAAGUUGACUCUUUCCAAAGUCAAUACAUUGGUAUUCAUUUAUCUUUGUAUUGUGUUUGGUCAUUUACUGUGAGAAAAUUAGAGUGUUCAAAGCAGACGUUUGUUUGAAUACAUUAGCAUGGAAUAAUCAUAUAUGGCUUUCAUGUUGAUUUGAUUGGUUUGAAUAUGGAAGCAAGAUUAAAAGGGACAGUUGGGGGUAUUCAUAUUCAAUAGUCAGAGGUGAAAUUCUGGGAUUUAUGGAAGAUGAACAAGUGCGAAAGCAUUUACCAAGGAUGUUGUCAUUAAUCAAGAACGAAGG
rnacentral:rRNA from 1 species